CUACUCAUGUUUAGAAUUGUACCUAGAAAUUGCUUUAAUUGUAGCUAGAAAUUACUGUUGCCCAAAAUUUCUGUGAAUUUUGCAGAUUUUAUUUUAGCAAAAUCACCAUGCCUUUCAAUGUGUACUGAUUUUAAAGGAUUAAAUUUUCACAGUUUUUGAAAUCUGCAUAAUUAGCAGAAAUUUUGGGCCACAGAAAUAUCUAGCUCCACGUGUAUGGCAUUUGCAAUGAAAGGUUUAUUUUUAACUUCUUAUCUCUGUUAAACAGAUAACAUUUCCCCAAGACUAGAUAUAUUAUCAACUCUUUAUUUCCCUUGGCACUACUUAAUGUGACACCAGUAUAUUUCCAGAAUGACAUUCCUGUCAAAUUAUUUUUAGAGAUGAAAAUAGGCUACAAAGUUCUUUGUAAACAUUAUUGCAAAACUCAACAGAGUAACCUGAAAUGAAAUGUGUGGCUAAACAAGCAUUUAUUCAUGUUUGAACUGUUUUUUUACAUUUUUGUUUGAGUUAUGAACAUUAUAAAUUGAAGUACAAUU